CAGGUCCUGCAAUUUUUGUCAUCCAAACCAACCCAAACAACCCUUUUUCUAAAACCUCGACCCAAAGGCACUUUUAAGAGCCACAUCUGUCUUGUCAACCUGUCCUUGCAGUGUUGUACUUGUAAGCGUCUGUCUGUCUCUCUCUCGCUCUCUGUUGCCUGUCACCUGUUUCUGUCUUUCUGUCUGUCUGUCUGUCUGUCUGUCUGUCUGUCCCCUUCAUCAUGAGUGAUUCAGAACUCCAGAAUCUGUUUUCGAGGGUGGAUAACAUGGCUGUUCAGCAAGAGGUCAAUGAUGUCCUCCAAGGGGUUGAUGACUUGAUUGCUGUGGUGCAGGAUGAGCAAGCAGCAGCACCGCCAACCAUGAGAUGGAAGAAGAGAACCAGUGACGGGAACUUAAUUCAUGCAAGACCACGAUCAGCUAGGAAUCAGUCCAAUCAGGUUACAGCUGGUAACAGCAGUGGACUUCAACAGCAGAAGACUCAUCCCAACAAAAAUGCUCCUGACUCAAACUCUGAGGUGGUCUUUGCUCCUGAUAACGUUGAUGGAUUUCUACGAGAUCUCCAGCAAUCAUUGAGCGAUGCAACAGGAGAUGGGGUGGAAUCACCAACCCCACAAGCCUCUCUUUCUGCUUCAUUAAACUGGAGCACAAGAAAGAGCAAUUCUUCGGAGAGCUGGAAGGCAGCGAGACCUCGUCUGGUUAACACCGCACUGGCACAAGAAAAUGUGGGAACCCGAAAGUGCCAACAGUGUUGGAGCAAUUUAGCUGUUGUUCGUUGUCGUGAUUGUCUACCACGGCCCUUAUUCUGUGCGGAGUGCGACGUCGUCAUGCACACCAGACACCCCCUUCACAACCGAGAUGCCAGUACUUUGGGAUUUUUCCAGCCAUUGCCCCCAACAACUACUGUACAGAAUAUGGACCUUUGCCAGUGUGUGCGGUAUGUACCUGUGGAGAUCCCUCACCAAAUCUGUGGUUGUCCAACAGAGGCACUGAGGCUCAAACCAGGAAAAGCUGUGGCUGUGAUCACAAUGAAUGGGAGACAUGAGCUCAGCAUGCCUGAGUUGGCAUGUGAAGCGUGCAAAGCCACAUGGACUGCUGGUGUUGACGGCAUUCUUCACAGCGACUACUGGCCAGCUACCCUGAACUUUGCCACCAUUUAUGGAACUGAUGUUUUUGCUUCAUUUGAAGAAAUGAAAAUGGCAGCACCUGGAUUGUCCUGUCAGGCAUUUUUACAAAUGUGGGAUCAGAGAACUGUCCGCUUUGGCCGUACUGGGAAGAUCUCAGCUGACACCUUCGCCAAAAGCUUUUUUGAGUGGGAGGCUGUACAAUAUGAGAUGGACAACAUAUGCAAGGAGGAGCCAUUCACCUGUCCUGCCUGCAGCCCGGAUAUGCUUGCGGUUUCCGUGGAUGGUAACCGCAAGCAUUACCGCUUCAAGAAUGCAUCUAGUGCUGAGGAACAGGCCAUAUUUGAUGGCGUCUUCAUCGCGAAGGAUGACGACGUCGCAAAAUUUGUGAACUACAUUCACACCACAACCAAGCAUGU
ensembl:lncRNA